UGAAUCUAUAAAAGAACUUGAUUCAAAUUUCUUUGCCAUGUAUUGUGUGAUUCUGGACUUAGAAACUCCUUUCUCUCAUUCAAGAUGGAAAUAACACCUCCAUUAAAAGAUUGCUUUAAGGGUUAAAUAAGAUACUGUAUAUACAGGGCAUAUUGCAGACACCCUCAACAUAGUAAUAGCUAGUAUUGUAAUUGAUUCUGUUUUAAUUAUUCCUGUGUAAUAGAGCUCUGGUUUUAUUCCUAGUUCUUUUACUAACAUCCUAGGUUUCUAGGCAAGUCUGUUUCCAUCCUCAGGCCUUAGGUUUUGCAAGGUUGUAAUGUGAGAACUGGACUGGACCAUCUCCAAAGCCUCUUCCACCUGUCAGCUACUUAGCACUACUUCAGAAGGUGUCUACAGCACAGAGAAAGGAUCCAGCAAUCAGAAUGCAUACCUAGAGAGACAGAGACAGAGCAUGAGCAGAGGAGGGACAGAGAGAGACGGAGACACAGAAUCCAAAGCAGGCUCCAGGCGCCAAGCUGUCAGCACAGAGCCUGAUGCAGGGCUCGAACUCAUGAACUGUAGAUCAUGACCUGAGCUGAAGUUGGACUCUUACCCAACUGAGCCACCCAGGUGCCCCUCACACGUUUAAAGACAUUAGCCAUCUCUCACUUUUAAUCCUGCAUCUGCUGUCUUGCUGGCCAAGAGAGAACUUUAGACUUUAGAGUCUACAACAGAUGGUGACCCUGAGGUGAAAGAAGGAAAGGGGUACUAUGGACCAACGUGGGCAAGGAGCCAACAUGGCCAAGAGGUGGUGCGACAUGAGGACUGCAUGAUGCUGCAGAACAAUUAAGGGGCUCCAAGAAAACAAUCGCACCGGAUACAGUCUCUAUCUGACGAGAUUCUGGACCUCUGUGGAUCCCCUCUCGGGGUAAGGUGAAGCCUUACCAUGGCAUGGUGGAGACCCGUAGGAUAUCUUCCAAUGAAUCAAGACUUCCGGAGAAUGACUGAGUGAGCGGCCACCGCCCCUCUUUUUCAAGAUGGAGGAAGCCUCUUCACGGACUCCUCAUCCUGAAGCCAGUCUACAAAUGCAAGUCUUUGCCCCUCAUAUAACAUGGGGAAGCCUUAAAUGCCUGUCUAACCAGGCCGGCAUCCUCUUAUAACACAGUGAUAUUAUAUAUAUACCCCUGAUUCACAUUUGAUGGCCAUGAUUUCUGUCGUUAACAAAAAUUCGAUUUGUGUAACCCUGAUUCUUCUCCUUGCCCUCAUUUGUCCAGGCCAAGCUCAAUAUUCAUAUUGGGCUCAUCUCCUUAAGCCAUCUAUAUUUGAUACCUUAACACUCCUAGCCUGAGAUAUUCCUAUUAGCAAUAAUGACAGAGUUCAUGGAAGGAGCCAGUCUUAACCCGCCCUUCCAAACGGAACAAAAACAUUAGCUUUAUAUGCCAAAACCGCAGUGAUGGCUUACUUCAGCGCCUCCUAUGUGUGUUACUAAGUUCAGCAAUUUAUCUGCUUGUCUUAAAAAUCAACUGGCUUUUGCAUGUACAGCCCAAACCCUCUACAAGGCCAAUUUUACUUUUUUUCUCAGCCAUAAGCUUCAAUAUACUUAAAAAAAAAAAAAAAAGGCAUAUCUCACAUUCCUGUUAUAGCUUGCUCUAGUCUCAAAUAUUCAGACAACCCCUGGAAUAAUAUUCCUUGGACAACCUGUAAUGGAGAGACUGAGCAUAACCUUCACUGGGGUAAUUGGACUAUUAUUGACAGGGGUCCUAGAGGACAUCUUGAAACAAAAUAUUCAAAAAAGACCAUAUCCUUUGACCAGUUUAGUAGGGAGAGUAUUUUUUGGAAAGAUGGAGGUUUGUCUGGACCUAUAAUUUCUGCACAUAAAGGGAAAUUAAAAGGACGUUGUCUUGUUAACCUUUGGAAGCUAGGUCUUCCCUUCUUCAUUCGUACCAUUAGCCACGGUGAAAUUUAUGUAAAUCAGCAUACUAACCUAACUUGGGCCUCCCUGCACAACAAUCAAUUUGCAUGGACCACUAGUUGUGUCCCUUCUCCCUAUGUUUUCUUUGCUACCUCCACUUUACAGAUCCAACAACUAGGAAGUAAUUAUCAUAUCUCUACCUCCCAGAGUUGGUUUAUAUCCUGCUUAAGUACUGAUAACAUCACCCAAUUAAAUAUCUCCUCCUUCUUAGUAGUUAGCAUGUCUCAGCCUGGGUUCCUGUUAAUAGCUCUAGAACCCUAUAUACAUCUAUCAGGAGUUAGGUGCGCUUUCCAAGCCUGUUUAACACUGGCAUUCUGCUGUAAGGCAAAAAAGAUUUGCUGGCCUGCUGAUCAUGGGCAUCCUAGCAGCAGUAGGUGUUAUCGCCUCUGCCACUGUAGCUGGAGUCAGCCUGCAUCAUACUAUCCAGACAGCCCAUGUCCUUAAUAAAUAUGGUCAACACUACCAAAGAAUUUAUAAGCCAGACUUCCAUUGAUAAACAUGUUUCAGCCUGCCUUGAAGCUCUUGAGGCUGCAGUGGAAUUUAUUGGAAAGCAACAGGAAGGCUUGUUCCUCCACUCUAAACUGCCCUGUGACCCUAACUACCAGCAUAUCUGCAUGACUGGCAUUCCUUAUAAUCACCCCUAGGCUUGGGAUGCUGUCCAGGCACACCUUUGCAGUGUCUUUUCUUCCUAACUCUCUGACAAUACAGAAAAUUUAGAUAUGACAUUGUGCCAACAGCUACAAUAUGUAGAAGAUCAGCUUAAAAAUGGGCUGAUUCCUGGGAAAUGUGGCACAAUGUAAAUCCUUUCUCACAGCUAGCACCCAUCUCAAAUUCUGGAUAACUCUGGAAAGUGGAAUGCUUUUACCGUGUCUCUUUUUAUGUCUUUGCAGAAUCACCCUCCAAGCCAUCCAAAAGCAAAAGAAGGACCAGGAGCUUGUCAUGAUGGUCCUCAAACACAAAACUAAAAGAACCAAGAAAAACAAAAAGGGGGCACUGUGGAGAAUAAGCUUAGGAAUUCCCUGAGUCUGCACUGAUGGGUUAACAAGGCAUAAAGAAUUACAAAGCCAUAGGAUGCUCACAUCCACGCUUGGGAAACAGGAUUGCCCCCAGAAUAGAGGAGGGGGCGCAAAGGCCCCCAAUACAAAGGUAUAUGAGGUAAGCAAGCUUAGGUAUUCAGGGCAAAAGUGCCCCCCAAUUUAGUACUAUAGCAGAAAGCUGCUUUCACAGGAAGGACGGACCAAAUUAGGCAAACAGGUAAAUAGGGCUGUAGACCACUGCACUGCAGAUGAAACUGCAGAGCAGAGCUGAUUAGCAAAAGAAAAGGUGUGUUGUUAACCCUGAGGUUACUUGCUCUAUCUUAUCCCCUAGGCUAGCUAAGAUAAACAGACACGGCACCUCCUGUCUGCUGUUAACAACCAUCUGCCUGGUGCCAGGAUUGUUUUAUAUUGACCCAAACCCCAACCGUAUAUCCUCAAAACCCCCUUUCCCUCAUGCCCAUGAGUUCAUGUUUACCAAUUCAUUGUCUCUUUGUGCACUCCCAUCACAUUUGUAAGCCUUCUGAUUUUAAUAAAUAUGGGGUAAGGACCCUUACUUGGGGGUCUUGUCUUUUCCCAGACAUUAGCCGUCUCUCGCUUUUAAUCCUGCAUCUGCUUUCUUGCUGGCCAAGAGAGAACUUUAGACUUAGAGUCUACAGCAUGAGAUAAUUAAAAUAUGUAUUUCAAAAUACUUAAAAGAUAGAUAAAAAGGCAAUAGAAUAUGGAGGAAACACAGAAAUAUGGCAGAAAUCCUAUGUUGUGAGUAGUUACAAUUACUGUAAGUGGACUAAAACAUCAGUCUAAGGCUGUUUUCUGCCAAAUGUGAAAUAGAAUCAUAAAAUCAAAAAAUCAUUGGUUUACAUUAUAACAGCUGGUAUGGAGAUUAAAACAAAAGUAGUAAAAAUGUAGUAAAAAAAAUCAAUUAACAUCUACAAAAACUAGUCAAAGGAUACAUUAAAAAGAUAUAAAACAUACACAUAAAACAGGGAGUAAAACUUCAGUGCUUUUAAAAUGUAUUUAAGCUUAAGUGAUCAUCAACUUAAUCUAGACUGCUAAUCAUAUAGGAUAUAUAUGAACCCCAUGGUAACCACAAAUCUAAAUCUAUACUAGAUGCCCAAUAAAGACAAAUCCAAGCAUAAUGCUAAAAGCAGGAAAGCAGAAGAAAGGAACAGAGAACUACAACACACACACACACAAUUCCGAUGGCAGUAAGUACAUACCUAUCAAUAAUUAAAUGGAAAUGGAUUACAUGCCACAUGCUCCAAUCAAGACUUAAAGUGACUAGGGGCGCCUGGGUGGCUCAGUGGGUUAAGCGGCCGACUUCAGCUCAGGUCAUGAUCUCACGGUCCGUGAGUUCGAGCCCCGCGUUGGGCUCUGUGCUGACAGCUCAGAGCCUGGAGCCUGUUUCGGAUUCUGUGUCUCCCUCUCUCUGAUCCUCCCCUGUUCAUGC